AUAAAAGGAUUAUUAAACAAUAAAGGUGUAUUUAUUAUUAAAUAAAGUAAUAUAUUAUUUAAUUAUUAAUUUUAGAAAAAAAUGAUUUUAUUAUAGUUUAAAGUAUAUUAAUAGAAUUUUUUUAUUUAUUUAAAAGAAGAUUUAAUUUAUUGUACCUUGUGUCUCAGGGUUUAUUAAAAAUUUUGUAAAGAUUUGUAAUUCUCGAAUUUUAAAGAUUUAAUUAUUUAAUAAUUUUAUUGUAAAAUAAAUAUUUAAAAUAAGUAAUUAGAAAUGAAACGUUAGUCGUUUUAAAUAGUAUCUAGUUUUUUUAGAAAUGGAUUUAAUUCAAGAUUUUUUUAAUAAUAAGAUAUUUAUUGGAUUUUUUUAUUAGAAAGUUUAUAUAAUUUUAGGGAAAAGCUUAAAAUUAGAAUUUUAUAAAUUUAUUUAAAAAUAUAAUUAAUAAGAAUAGAAGUUUCUAUUUUUUAAGUUAAUUAUAUAUUGUUAUAUAAAAUUAAUAUUUUUAUAAGUUUUAAGUUUUUUAUAAAAAUUAAUUAAUUAAUGAAGAAUUAAUUGUAAUUGUGAUAUAAUUAGUAUAAUUAAGGUUUAAUAAUAUUUUUUAUUAAAAAGAUUAUUAAAAGGAAUUCGGCAAAUUUAUUUUUCACCUGUUUAUUAAAAACAUGUUUUUUUGAUAAUAAUUUAAAGUCAGGCCUGCUCAAUGAGGAUUUAAAUAGCUGCAGUAUAUUGACUGUACAAAGGUAGCAUAAUCAUUAGUUUUUUAAUUGAAAGCUGGAAUGAAGGGUUUAAUGAAAAAAUAACUGUCUCUUGAUAAAUAUUUAGAAUUUUAUUUUUAAGUGAAAAAGCUUAAAUUUUUUAAAAAGACGAGAAGACCCUGUAGAGUUUAAUUUUUUAUUUAAAUAAAAUAUUUAGUUAAUAUGGUUUUAUUUAAAUAAAAAAUUUUAUUGGGGUGAUAAUUAAAUUUAUAUAACUUUAAAUUUUAUAAUCAUUAAUAUAUGAAUAUAUGAUCCUUGAUUAGGAUUAUAAGAAUAAAUUACCUUAGGGAUAACAGCGUAAUUUUUUUUGAGAGUUCAAAUCGAAAGAAAAGGUUGCGACCUCGAUGUUGGAUUAAAAUUAAAUUAGGGUGCAGAAGUUCUAAUUUUAAGUCUGUUCGACUUUUAAAAUUUUACAUGAUCUGAGUUUAAACCGGUGUGAGCCAGGUUGGUUUCUAUCUUUUAAAAAAUUUAUAUUUUAGUACGAAAGGACCAAAUAUGAGAAUUAUAUUUUUUUAUAAGAAUAAAA
rnacentral:rRNA from 1 species